rnacentral:rRNA from 1 species
GACGAACGCUGGCGGCGUGCUUAACACAUGCAAGUCGAGCGACUGCAUUCUUUUCGGAGGGUGUAUGGAGCGGCGAACGGGUGAGUAACACGUGAGUAAUCUGCCUUUGGCUUGGGAAUAACUUCGGGAAAUCGGGGCUAAUGCCUGAUGUUUACUGUCUGCUGCAUGGUGGGUGGUGGAAAGAUUUUUUGGCCAGGGAUGAGCUCGCGGUCUAUCAGCUGUUGGUGGGGUAAUGGCUUACCAAGGCUUUGACGGGUAGCCGGCCUGAGAGGACGACCAGCCAC